AAAUAGUUGCAACCAAGGUUCCUGCUUUAACAGAGACCUUAACUGAAGCCCCUAUAGAACCUGUUAUAGCUCCUCCUGCCUCAGCUGUCUCUUAGGCACACAUUGUUAUGGCUCCCCUAGAAGGUGGUGAUGGCACCAGCAUGAAGACUCGCAGAGAAGAUUUUGGAGCUCUAGCUAUAUUGAUGCAAGAUGAAUCUGUAGUUCUGGUGAACAGAGGGACAGUGCUCGGUGCAGCAUUCUUCACACUAAUGUCUUUUAUUGUUACCGGGUUUCUUGGGAUGGCUAUAUACAAGAAACUUCGCUGAAUGCAAGACAGAUCAGUGGACAAAGAUCUGUUUGAUGAGCAAUUGAAGCUGAACAAGUUAUUCUACAUUGGAUUUUUACUUAGGAAAAGUCAAGUGAAGGAAAUUCUUCAAGAUUCGGACAGCCAGAAAGCCACCAUGAUAAUGGAAACCAGUGGUCAAAGUGGUUUUAAGAUCUUCUACUUAAGUAAAAGAAGCAAUAACAAAAU